rnacentral:rRNA from 1 species
GUUGCAGUUAAAAAGCUCGUAGUUGGAUUUCUGCGGGGGCGGGGCGGCCGACCUCAACUCGAGGUUCGAGCUAGCACUUCCCCUGCAUCCUGCCGCGAACCGUGCUACCAUUAGUUUGGUGGCGCUGGGGAUCGGCUCGUUUACUUUGAGAAAAAUAGAGUGUUCAAAGCAGGCCACACGCCUUGAAUAAGUUAGCAUGGAAUAAUGAUAAAGGACUUCGGUUCUAUUUUGUUGGUGUUCGGGACUGAAGUAAUGAUUGAUAGGGACAGUUGGGGCGGUCAGUAUUCCAAAGCGAGAGGUGAAAUUCUUAGACCUUCGGAAGACUAACAGCUGCGAAAGCGUUCCGCAAGGAUGUUCCCUUUGAUCAAGAACGAAAGUUGGGGGAUCGAAGACGAUCAGAUACCGUCGUAGUCUCAACUAUAAGCUAUACCAGCUAGGGAUCGGCCAACGUUUACUUAUAUCGACUUGGUCGGCACCUUAUGAGAAAUCAAAGCAUCUGGGUUCCGGGGGGAGUAUGGUCGCAA